GACGAACGCUGGCGGCGUGCUUAACACAUGCAAGUCGAGCGGUAAGGCCCUUUCGGGGGUACGACGAGCGGCGAACGGGUGAGUAACACGUGGGUGACCUGCCCUCAGCUCUGGGAUAAGCCUGGGAAACUGGGUCUAAUACCGGAUAUGACUCCAUGACGCAUGUUGUGGGGUGGAAAGCCUUGUGCGGCUGAGGAUGGGCCCGCGGCCUAUCAGCUUGUUGGUGGGGUGANGGCCUACCAAGGCGACGACGGGUAGCCGGCCUGAGAGGGCGACCGGCCACACUGGGACUGAGACACGGCCCAGACUCCUACGGGAGGCAGCAGUGGGGAACCUUGCGCAAUGGGCGAAAGCCUGACGCAGCGACGCCGCGUGAGGGAUGACGGCCU
rnacentral:rRNA from 1 species